CAAGGUGUCNUCGGACGCCGGCAAACGGCUCAGUAACACGUAGGUAAUCUACCCUCAGGACUGAGAUAACCCCGGGAAACUGGGGCUAAUACCAGAUAGAUAAAAGAUACUGGAAUGUUCUUUUAUCCAAAGCUUUUGUGCCUGAGGAUGAGCCUGCGCCCGAUUAGGUAGUUGGUGGGGUAAUGGCCCACCAAGCCUGCGAUCGGUACGGGCAGUGGGAGCUGUAGCCCGGAGUUGGGGACUGAGACAAGGCCCCAGGCCCUACGGGGCGCAGCAGGCGCGAAACCUCUGCAAUGCGGGAAACCGUGACAGGGGGAUUCCAAGUGCUCAUGCAUUGCAUGGGCUGUUCUUUGGUCUAAGUAACCAGAGGAGUAAGGGCUGGGCAAGACCGGUGCCAGCCGCCGCGGUAAUACCGGCAGCUCGAGUGGUAGCCGCGAUUAUUGGGCCUAAAACGUUCGUAGCCGGAUAAGUAAGUCUUUGGUUAAAUCCUACGACCUAACCGUGGGAAAUCUAGAGAUACUGCUUGUCUUGGGACCGGGAGAGGUUGGAGGUACUCCCAGGGUAGGGGUGAAAUCCUGUAAUCCUGGGGGGACCACCUGUGGCGAAGGCGUCCAACUGGAACGGCUCUGACGGUGAGGGACGAAACCUAGGGGAGCGAGCCGGAUUAGAUACUCGGGUAGUCCUAGGCGUAAAUGAUGCGAGUUAAGUGUGGGGGCAUCUACGAGAUGGCCCUGUGCUGUAGGGUAGCCGUUAAACUCGCUGCCUGGGGAGUACGGUCGCAAGGCUGAAACUUAA
rnacentral:rRNA from 1 species